UACGUAGGGGGCUAGCGUUGUCCGGAAUCAUUGGGCGUAAAGAGCUCGUAGGCGGUUUGUCGCGUCUGCUGUGAAAACCUGAGGCUCAACCUCGGGCUUGCAGUGGGUACGGGCAGACUAGAGUGCGGUAGGGGUGACUGGAAUUCCUGGUGUAGCGGUGGAAUGCGCAGAUAUCAGGAGGAACACCGGUGGCGAAGGCGGGACUCUGGGCCGAUACUGACGCUGAGGAGCGAAAGCGUGGGGAGCAAACAGG
rnacentral:rRNA from 1 species